CACUGUGUGAUCUGUAUUCACUUAUUCCUCCUCUUCUAGUUGUAACGCAUAAGAAACUCAGGUUUAACAUGGGGAAUGAUGUGUUGUCUUUUGGUGAUUUGAAUGUUUAUGGAAGUUGAGUUCUUCUAGUAAUGAGUUUGAGAGCUUUGAUGGAGGUAAUAAAGGGAAAGCUGCUGGUUUUUAUGGUGUUGAAGAUUGGGGUGAAACUGGUGGCAUUGAUCCCUUGCCUUCUGAUUAUGGAUUAGGCUCAGGAGUUGCAAUGGGCAAGCACUAGGUUUAAAGGCAAUUAGGAUUUUAUUGAUGUGCAUGUAUAAGUUUUUUAGCUAAUGUCUGGUUCAUCAUUUUUUGCUGCAGUGAAAUUUAUGCUAAUGUAUAAGAGACUUUAUGCUUGAGAUUUUGGACUCGUUUUCA